AUUGAACGCUGGCGGCAGGCCUAACACAUGCAAGUCGAACGAGUGGCGGACGGGUGAGUAAUGUCUGGGAACCUGCCUGAUGUAGGGGGAUAACUACUGGAAACGUUAGCUAAUACCGCAUACCAUCGGAUGUGCCCAGAUGGGAUUAGCUAGUAGGUGAGGUAAAGGCUCACCUAGGCGACGAUCCCUAGCUGGUCUGAGAGGAUGACCAGCCACACUGGAACUGAGACACGGUCCAGACUCCUACGGGAGGCAGCAGUGGGGAAUAUUGCACAAUGGGCGAAAGCCUGAUGCAGCCAUGCCGCGUGUGUGAAGAAGGCCUUCGGGUUGUAAAGUACUUUCAGCGGGGAGGCGUUACCCGCAGAGGAAGCACCGGCUAACUCCGUGCCAGCAGCCGCGGUAAUUC
rnacentral:rRNA from 1 species